AUCCAGACUACCACACAAGGGGAACCAGGUUUGCUAAAGUAAUUGUGGGGAUGGUAAUGGUUUAGCCUCGGGGACUACUGGGGUGGCCCAUUCUUUCCUACUACAGUU